AUUUCUUGGCAGCUGGAAGCUAUCCAAAGAAAAGAGAUCAGGUAUGCUCAAAAUCUACUCCUCUUCUGUUGGAUUAUUUUUAAUAAUUAACUUGCAUAAUCCUUCAUAUAAUUUAUAAUGUCUAUAUUAAUUCUAUCCUUUAUUAGUUGUUUUUACGGCUUGCUAUGACAGUACAUUUUGCCUGAGUUCUAUUUGAUCGCAUGCUUAUCAUGUUAUAA
rnacentral:misc_RNA from 1 species